AGAUUGAGCAGGCAGAAAAAAUCCUUGUCUGGAUUUACCUUUAGUCCUCUGUCUUUUGACAAAUCUAUAAAAAGUUAUUUUUGCAGUGACGUGAAUGGUAUCAGGUUCUUUUUUCCGAGUCACUGGAGCACUGAAUGGCCCUUUAGCUGAGUUUCCUAUGGAAAAGCUUGUGCUGUAGUCCGUGCCCUUGGCCUGUGCGUGAGAGACGAGGGCCGGCUGAGCAUUGACGAAACCUUUAGAGAUCGUGAGGCAGCAGACGGGCACUGCAGCACUCCUUACUCAGCACUAUGUCCUCUCUCUGUCUCAGCUCCCACCCUCCUGUAGCUUUCUGAUCCUUCCCCAGACUCCCAUGUGUCCGAUAUAAUAAUGACAAGACUGCACGACCUCCCUCUCUAUAUAAAACAAACAGCGGCUCACCUUAAAUUCCUUCACUGCUCUACUGACGUUCACAUGUUGGACCUGCUUCUGCAAGGUGGAGCUUCUGAUUCUGUGGUCUUCCAGGUCCAUUCAGACUGUAACUUCCUAUCUUUAAUGCAAGAUCCUGUCUGAUGUACUCUCCAUCUCUGUCUCACCAUAUAUAUCAGUGGUAUAACUGGUUGGUCACAACCUAAAAAUGAGCAUAACACUUUAAUAUAGGGACCAAUUCUCACUAUUAACUAGUUUUAAAUUUGUAUUCAUAUUAUUGACAUAUUAGCUGUUUAUUAGUACUUAUAAAGCACAUAUUCUUCAUGAUCAUAUUCUGCAUCCCUAAUCCUACCCAAUACUUAAACUUAACGCAUACCUUAAUAAAUAUUAUUAAGCAGCAAAUUAGGAGUUUGAGGCAAAAGUUGUAGUUGAUGGUUUGUUAAUGGCGAGAAUUGCACCUUAAAAUUUAAGACAUUUCAAAACCAAAAUGAUUAUUAUUAUUAUUAUUAGUUGUAUUAGUAUUAGUAUUGUUGUAGUUGUUAUUUUUAGUGAAGCUCAUGUCAUUAAUAAUUUUAAAUUGCCAGGUCUACAUUUUUGUUCAAUAAUACUGUUUUGGGUUGCCAUAUGAUGUCCAAAAGAAAAUCAUGAAGCAAAAACAAAAACCAGUUGACAGCCACUGAUGUAAAAUCUCCCUGCUGUAGCUUGUUUACUCAUUAAAACUGGAGCUUUGAGAGAUAUGAGCUGAUUCUGCUGCUGCUGGUGGCAGAACGGCAUGAUGGGACUGCCAUCAAAGAUAAGAAGCAUCCAAGGUGAAGAGUUUGUGUUGAAAGAGACACACUGAACAUAAAUGGCACUUGCAUUCAGCAUUAUAAUGGUAUUCUCGCAUCUGGCUGAUGUUUGAUGUCUGGAGUUUUAGCUUUACUGAUGUCUACAGAUCAUCUCAGCGAUGUUGCUACAGUAUGUGUUAUUCUUUAGUUUCAUGCUGAAGUAAAAAUACGAGUGUUGUAGUAAGUGAAGUUGACACUGUUGGCUGUAGAUUUGGGAACUGCGGUUGUGUGUGAUUCAUGGCUCAGGACUCGUUUGGAAUGAUAAUGCAGGCUUUGGUGUUUGCUCACAGAUAAAUGAAGUUGUGAAAGUCGGCGGUUGGCUCUGUGAGGAGUGCCGUCUGAACGGAAUGCCAAAUGUCCACGUGAAAAGCGAAGGCUGUCUCUGUGCUUGAGUAGUAUCUCAACCAGCUCUCAAUGGGAUUUAUGUUCCGCUAUUAGAAGUUUCUGAACAUGGUCACCCUUAAACCUAAAAUGCAAACCUACACAAAUGCAUAAAUGGGGUCAAAGAUUAAGUUGCCAAAUCUAUUUUAUCUUUGUUUUCAUUGAAAUUCUCAAUUUGAUAAUAUACAAAUUUUUAAAGUCAGCAUAAAAUUAUACUUUUUUCCCUCCCCUAUUGUCAUAUAUAACUGGGUGAAAAUCUGAAAAAAUGUGGAAUGAGA
ensembl:lncRNA